rnacentral:rRNA from 1 species
GACGAACCGUGCGAACGUUAUUCGGAAUCACUGGGCUUAAAGGGCGCGUAGGCGGAUUCGUAAGUCAGGGGUGAAAUCCCACGGCCCAACCGUGGAAGUGCCUUUGAUACUGCGGGUCUCGAGGGGAUAGGGGCGUGCGGAACUCGGGGUGGAGCGGUGAAAUGCGUAGAUAUCCUGAGGAACACCGGUGGCGAAAGCGGCGCGCUGGAUCCCUUCUGACGCUGAGGCGCGAAAGCCAGGGGAGCAAAGCGGG